rnacentral:misc_RNA from 1 species
AACCAUAGAAACCUGCGGAGUACCUGCGGAAGGAUCAUUAUAGUAUAUGGAAUCUCCAUUCUAUAAACCCACUCUGCGUAUCUUGUAACUGUUGCUUCCAUGGGACUUGGUUCCGCCGCACCGGCUUCACGGCUGGUGAGCGCCCAUGGAAGGAGAAACAAAACUCUUCUUUGAAAUGUAGUCAGUCUGAACAAGUUUUUAUAAACGUUAAAACUUUUAGCAAUGGAUCUCAGAUCGGAA